rnacentral:rRNA from 1 species
UAGUCCACGCAGUAAACGAUGAGUGCUAGUUGUCGGGAUUUUCUCGGUGGCGAAGCUAACGCGUUAAGCACUCCGCCUGGGGAGUACGGCCGCAAGGCUAAAACUCAAAGGAAUUGACGGGGACCCGCACAAGCAGUGGAGCAUGUGGUUUAAUUCGAUGAUACGCGAGAAACCUUACCAGCUCUUGAAUCCUGAUUACGAUUUUCAGAGAUGAAUUUUUCAGUUCGGCUGGAUCAGUGACAGGUGUUGCAUGGCUGUCGUCAGCUCGCGUCGUGAGAUGUUCGGUUAAGUCCGGCAACGAGCGCAACCCACGUCCCUAGUUGCCAGCAUUCAGUUGGGCACUCUAUGGAAACCGCCGGUGAUAAGCCGGAGGAAGGUGUGGAUGACGUCAAGCCCUCAUGGCCCUUACGGGUUGGGCUACACACGUGCUACAAUGGCAGUGACAAUGGGAUAAUCCCCAAAAACUGUCUCAGUUCGGAUUGGGGUCUGCAACUCGACCCC